rnacentral:rRNA from 1 species
CCACGGAGGGCGCAAGCGUUGCUCGGAAUCACUGGGCGUAAAGCGGGUGUAGGCGGUCUAGCAAGUCAGAUGUGAAAGCCCACGGCUCAACCGUGUAAGUGCAUCUGAAACUGCUAGACUUGAGUGCCGGAGAGGGAAGUGGAAUUCCUGGUGUAGGGGUGAAAUCCGUAGAUAUCAGGAGGAACACCGGUGGCGAAGGCGACUUCCUGGACGGCCACUGACGCUGAGACCCGAAAGCGUGGGGAGCAAACAGGAGUAGAAACCCCAGUAGUCC